UUGCACACUUGGCAUUUCUGAUUUUCUUUCUAGGGUCCUCGUGGUCCUCAAGGGAUUGAUGGUGAACCUGGUAUCCCUGGCCAGCCUGGUGACCCUGGUCCUCCGGGGCAUCCCACUCACCCAGGGCCGGAUGGAAUAAGCAGGCCAUUUGCAGCUCAGAUGGCAGGACUGGAUGAGAAAUCUGGGCUUGGCAGCCAGAUGGGACUGAUGCCUGGUGCAGUGGGUCCAGUGGGUCCGAGGGGUCCUCAGGGUCUCCAAGGAAAACAAGUAAGUGCUUCACCUCAUGGGAUUUGGGAUAAUUGACUAGAGAUGAAGGAAAAGCUCACAGUAAUGGGUGUGUGCUCAUCUCUGGGGCG
ensembl:lncRNA